AAAUAUGGAAACACAAAAUAGGAACAUUGAGACAUAGAACCAGUCUCAGCUUGCAUUUCUGUCGUUAGAUAACAGUCAGGAUACCCUCAAUACAAAUUUUAACAGAUUAAAUAUAAAAGUUAGGAUGGACCGAACGGAAUUUAACCUGGCCAUUUUUCAUCUCUAGUCCUAUGAGUACACUGCACACAGUGGAUUACCAUAGAUGUACAGUACAGCAGUACUUAGGGUGCGUUUGGUUUGACUUUUAGCUUUUGGCUUUUGCCCCCUAAAAGCCAAAAGCCAACCAAAGGGUUGGAUUCAGGAAGCAGCUUUUUCUAAAAGCCGACUUUCUCACAGUGUAAAUCUGAAAGCACCCCUGAACCUGCUUUUAGUGGCUUUUCGGAUGGAACUGUGAAAACAUAUAUCGAAAAACUUUUAACGAUUUUUAGUAGUUUCCACCAAACGGUUUUUAGCUUUUUAACGGCUCACAGCCUACAGCAGCUUUUUCCACAGCUCACAGCCCACAGCAACUUUUUUCACAGCCACAGCCCAACCAAACAGACCCUUAAAACUGUGGUGACUUUUCAUUACAUUGUACAUGUUGAAAAUGGUAGUCACAUCAUGUUCUAAGGUUGUGACUAGUCAUGCAUAUCAUCGUGCAAAGCACUGUUGCGCUGUAGAUUACACUUUUU
rnacentral:lncRNA from 1 species